rnacentral:lncRNA from 1 species
UGCUAUCGGAGGAUCUCUCAGAGGAACACAAUGUGAAGGUUGAGCUCUCUGGCGCAGCAAGGAGACUGAAAGUGGUCAAAUUGUCAUCAGGUUUGAGGGGGGAAAACAAUUUAUAAAAAGGCGAGUGCUGUUUAAUACGUAAAGGACCUUUUGCUUUAUAUGGUAAUGAAUUUCAAAUGUCUUCCUCACUUCAGGAGCAAGAAGCUGCGGUGAGGGCCUUACAGCUGUUUCGUGGAGAUAAUUGAUUUUGGAAUAGGCUGACGAGAGCGCGGGCAGGCAGGGUUGACGGUGCUCUACAGCGGGGUCCAAGCCAAUUUCCGCAGGCCUCGUCCCUUUAAUUACAGCGGCGCUGGAGCGCGGGACACGGCAGCGCUCUUCCCUGGGCAAAUUAAACCCCCUCACCAGUCUUGCCUCUGCCCUUCCCCCGCCAUGCAGAGGCCUGAUGAAUUUUUCAUGGCUCUACCUCUCUCUUCGGGCCUAUCGUUAUGGCUGCCUGCAGGGCUGACAGUGCUGCUUCCUCUGUCCUCCCAGAGUGGCAAGGAAAGAGUUGUCACAGCACAGGAAAGCGUUGUCUGCAGAUGUUUCUAGAAUGUCUGAUUGACUGGAAGCUCGGUGAA